AUGGGCACUCAGUGGCCACUCAAAGGGCACUCAAUGGGCACUCAGUGGGCACUCAGUGGGCACUCAAUGGCCACUCAAUGUCCACUCAAUGACCACUCAAUGACCACUCAAUGGGCACUCAGUGGGCACUCAAUGACCACUCUGAGCGUGCACUCAGUGUGCACUCAGAGCGCACUCCCAGUGCCCUGCGUUGCCUUCCCCCCCCACUCACCAGUCCCCCCAUCUCCGUCCCGUUUCCCGUCGCCCAGCAUCUCCCUCAGCUCCCGCUCGGCGUCGCCGACGAACUCCGCAAAUCCUCUCAGCGUGGCGCUGCAUCCCCGGAUCCGCAGCUGCACCGCGUGCCGGCGCCGCAGCAUCGCCAGGCUUCCAUCCGGCAGCGCCGGCAGCGCCGCGUCCCGCAGCCUCACCGCCUUCAGCUCCGCUGCCAGCGCCCGCCGCAGCUCCACCGCCACCACUGCAGCAUCGCGCCGCGACGCCGCGAAAAUCUGCAGCUCCGCCACGUCCGGCGGGGGGCGGCUCUGCGCCGCCAGCUGUGCUUCAUCCUCCUCCUCCUCCUCCUCUUCCUCCUUCUCCAUAGAGCAGCACAGCGCCAGUGCCAGCUGGGCUUCCUCCUCCUCUUCCUCCUUUUUCUCCUGCAUGGAUCGCUGCAGUGCUAUUGCCAGCUGUGCUUCCUCUUCCUCCUCCUCCUCCUCCUCCAUCGAGCACUGCAGCGCCAUUGCCAGCUGUGCUUCCUCCUCGUCUUCUUCCUCCUUCUUUUUCUCCUUCAUGGAUCGCUGCAGCGCCAAUGCCAGCUGUGCUUCCUCCUCUUCUUCCUCCUUUUUCUUCUCCUCCAUGGAGCACUGCAGUGCCAACGCCAGCUCUGCUUCCUCCUCCUCCUCCUCCUCCUCCCCGGCAGUGCCGGUGCCGCGGCGUGGCACCGUGGAUCCACCAUCACUCAGUGCUGCCAGCAGCGCUGCUGCCUCUGUGGGGCAGAGGGGCGGUCGAGGGGCGGGCAGUGGGACCAAGCUGUGGGGAGACCCCCCCCCAACACCCCCAGCCCCAUUUGGGGACCCCCAGCCCCAUUUGAAGCCCCCCAGCCCCAUUUCGGGACCCCCAACCCUAUUCAAAGCCCCCCAGCUCCACUCCACCCCAAUUUGGAAAACCCAAUUUGGGAACUUUUAACUCCAACUUGGAAAACUCCCAGCCCCACUCAUAUCGAGGGCCCCCAGCCCCAUUUAGGGACCCCCUCCAUCCCAGUUUGAGACCCUGACCCCAUCUGGGGACAUCCCAAACCCAUUUGGGGACCCCGACNNNNNNNNNNNNNNNNNNNNNNNNNNNNNNNNNNNNNNNNNNNNNNNNNNNNNNNNNNNNNNNNNNNNNNNNNNNNNNNNNNNNNNNNNNNNNNUGGAGACCCCUGACCCCAUCUGGGGACAUCCCAAACCCAUUUGGGGACCCCCAACCCCAUUUAGGGAUCCCUGACCCCAUCUGGGGACCCCCAACCCCAUUUGGGGACCACCUCCAUCCCCAUUUGAGACCCCGACCCCAUCUGGGGACAUCCCAAACCCAUUUGGCGACUCCCGAUCCCAUUUAGGGACCCCCUCCAUCCCCAUUUGAGACCCCGGCCCCAUUUAGGGACCCCCUCCAUCCCCAUUUGAGACCCUGACCCCAUCUGGGGACCCCCAAACCGAUUUGGAGACCCCCAACCCCAUUUAGGGAGCCCCUCCAUCCCAGUUUGAGAUCCUAACCCUAUUUAGGGACUCCAUCCCAAUGUGAGACCCUGGCCCCAUUUAGGGACCCUCUCCAUCCCCAGUGGAAACCCCUCACCCUAUCUGAGGACAUCCCAAACCCAUUUGGGGACCUCCGACCCCAUUUAGGGAUCCCCUCCAUCCCAAUUUGGGACCUCGACCCCAUUUAGGGACCCCCUCCAUCCCAAAUUGAGACCCCGGCCCCAUCUGGGGACAUCCCAACCCCAUUUGGGGACCCCCUCCAUCCCCAUUGGAGACCCCGACCCCAUUUGGAGACCCCCUACUCCAUCGCAGGACCCUUCACCCCUCCUCACCUUUGCCACGGUCACCACACGGCACAGCACUGCCAGCACACAGCUGUGCCGCGGCGUCACCACGCCCCACACCGGCAUCACCGCUCAGCUCCGGGCGCCGGCUGCGGUUGAGCGGCUCUGCCG
ensembl:lncRNA